AUGCAAUCUCUCUCCGUCCGCAGCUCCCUCCGUCUGCAACCUCUCUGCGUCUACAACUUCCCUAUGUCUGCAACCUCCCUCCGUCGCGUUCUGCUUCCUCCCAGCUGGUACAAUCAGCUCCGAUCAACCUCUACUCUUCCUCUUCAUAUACUUCAAGCAUCUUCAACAGGUAUUGUUAUAAUCUCCUUUGGUUUUCUGUUGAAUCUUGAAUUUAGAGUUGUUGUUUUAACUAUGAUAUAG